rnacentral:rRNA from 1 species
UCAAGCGUCUUAAGGGCAUCUGGUGGAUGCCUUGGCACUGAGAGGCGAUGAAGGACGUGGCACGCUGCGAAAAGUCAUGGGGAGCUGCGAGCAAGCUUUGAUCCGUGAAUAUCCGAAUGGGGAAACCCACCUAGCAAUAGGUAUCCUUGACUGAAUCCAUAGGUCAAGGAAGCGAACCCGGGGAACUGAAACAUCUCAGUACCUGGAGGGAAAAGAAAUCAACCGAGAUUCCGCUAGUAGUGGCGAGCGAACGCGGACCAGGCCAGUGGUCAAUGCGAUAUAACUGGAACCGUCUGGAAAGUCGGGCCAAAGCGGGUGAUAGCCCCGUACAGGUAAAACAGCAUUGAUCCACGAGUAAGGCGGGACACGUGAAAUCCUGUCUGAACAUGGGGGGACCACCCUUUAAGGCUAAGUACUCUCAUGCGACCGAUAGUGAACUAGUACCGUGAGGGAAGGGUGAAAAGUACCCCGGAAGGGGAGUGAAAUAGAUCCUGAAACCGUGUGCAUACAAACAGUAGGAGCAGACCGCGGUGUGACUGCUACCUUUUGUAUAAUGGGUCAGCGACUUACAGUCGGCAAGCAAGCUUAAGCCGUUAGGCGAAGGGCAGCGAAAGCGAGUCUGAAUAGGGCGCUUGAGUUGCCGGUUGUAGACCCGAAACCUGAUGAUCUAGCCAUGGCCAGGUUGAAGGUGCAGUAACAUGCACUGGAGGACCGAACCCGUGAAUGUUGAAAAAUUCUGGGAUGACCUGUGGAUAGGGGUGAAAGGCUAAACAAACUCCGGAGAUAUCUGGUUCUCUGCGAAAGCUAUUUAGGUAGCGCGUCGGAUGUUUACCGCCGGGGGUAGAGCACUGGAUGGGCUAUGGGGACUCACCGUCUUACUGAUCCUAACCAAACUCCGAAUACCGCAGAGUACAGCUUUGGCAGACAGACACCGGUGCUAGUCCGUAUCGUCAAAAGGGAAACAGCCUCAGACCGCCAGCUAAGGUCCCCAAGUGGCGGAUUAAGUGGUAAACGAAGUGGGAUUGAUUGACAGCAGGAUUGUUAGCUUAGAAGGCAGCCAUCCUUUAAAGAAAGCGUAAUAGCUCACUGGUCUAGAUAAGCCGGCCUGCGCCGAAAAUGUAACGGGGCUUAAGCCACCCACCGAAGCUGCGGGUUCAAUCGCAAGAUUGAGCGGUAGCGGAGCGUUCCGUAAGCCGUCGAAGGUGUGUCGCGAGGUUGCUGGAGGUAUCAGAAGUGCCGAAUGCUGACAUGAGUAGCGAUUAUGCGGGUGAAAAGCCCGUCGCCGAAAGUCCAAGGGUUCCUGCGCAAGGUUAAUCCACACUGGGUUGAGUCGAUCCUAAGGCGAGGCCGAAAGGCGUAGUCGAUGGGAACCACGUUAAUAUUCGUGGGCCUGCGGGUGAGUGACGGAUCUGAAAACCAGUAUGCUCUUAUCGGAUUGAGUGUGCUGCGGACAGGUUCCAGGAAAUAGCCCCCGCAUAUAGACCGUACCCGAAACCGACACAGGUGGUCAGGUCGAGUAUACCAAGGCGCUUGAGAGAACGGUGUUGAAGGAACUCGGCAAAUUACUUGCGUAACUUCGGGAUAAGCAAGCCCCGUUUCUGGGCAACCAGGGGCGGGGGACACAAACCAGGGGGUAGCGACUGUUUACUAAAAACACAGGUCCGUGCGAAGUCGUAAGACGAUGUAUACGGACUGACUCCUGCCCGGUGCCGGAAGGUUAAAAGGAGGUGUGCAAGCACUGAACUUAAGCCCCAGUAAACGGCGGUGGUAACUAUAACCAGUCCUAAGGUAGCGAAAUUCCUUGUCGCAUAAGUUCGCGACCUGCACGAAUGUGUAACGACUUGCCCCGCUGUCUCCU